GACGAACCGUGCGAACGUUAUUCGGAUUUACUGGGCGUAAAGGGCGCGCAGGCGGCUCAUUUUGUCAGGCGUGAAAGCCCCGGGCUUAACCUGGGAACUGCGUUUGAUACGGAUGGGCUAGAGUUCGGGAGAGGAGAGUGGAAUUCCCAGUGUAGAGGUGAAAUUCGUAGAUAUUGGGAAGAACACCGGUGGCGAAGGCGGCUCUCUGGACCGAGACUGACGCUGAGGCGCGAAAGCGUGGGGAGCAAACGGG
rnacentral:rRNA from 1 species